GGCGGAGUGGCGAAAUGGUAUCGUGUGGUCCUCCUAUCUGAAGGAUCCAGACUGAGGUUGUGGGUUCGAGUCCCAUCUUCGUCG